rnacentral:rRNA from 1 species
AGAGUUUGAUCAUGGCUCAGAUUGGACGCUGGCGGCAGGCUUAACACAUGCAAGUCGAGCGGUAACAUUCCUAGCUUGCUAGGAGAUGACGAGCGGCGGACGGGUGAGUAAUGCUUGGGAAUAUGCCUUAUGGUGGGGGACAACAGUUGGAAACGACUGCUAAUACCGCAUAACGUCUACGGACCAAAGGAGGGGAUCUUCGGACCUUUCGCCAUUUGAUUAGCCCAAGUGAGAUUAGCUAGUAGGUGAGGUAAAGGCUCACCUAGGCGACGAUCUCUAGCUGGUUUGAGAGGAUGAUCAGCCACACUGGGACUGAGACACGGCCCAGACUCCUACGGGAGGCAGCAGUGGGGAAUAUUGCACAAUGGGCGAAAGCCUGAUGCAGCCAUGCCGCGUGUGUGAAGAAGGCCUUCGGGUUGUAAAGCACUUUCAGUUGUGAGGAAAGGGGUGUAGUUAAUAACUGCAUUCUGUGACGUUAACAACAGAAGAAGCACCGGCUAACUUCGUGCCAGCAGCCGCGGUAAUACGAGGGGUGCAAGCGUUAAUCGGAAUUACUGGGCGUAAAGCGUUCGUAGGCGGUUAUUUAAGCAAGAUGUGAAAGCCCAGGGCUCAACCUUGGAACUGCAUUUUGAACUGGGUAACUAGAGUACUGUAGAGGGGUGGUGGAAUUUCCAGUGUAGCGGUGAAAUGCGUAGAGAUUGGAAGGAACAUCACUGGCAAAGGCGGCCACCUGGGACAGAUACUGA